AACGAACGCUGGCGGCAUGCCUAACACAUGCAAGUCGAACGAGACCUUCGGGUCUAGUGGCGCACGGGUGCGUAACGCGUGGGAACCUGCCCUUAGGUUCGGAAUAACUCCCCGAAAGGGGUGCUAAUACCGGAUAAUGUCUUCGGACCAAAGAUUUAUCGCCUUUGGAUGGGCCCGCGUUGGAUUAGCUAGUUGGUAGGGUAAAAGCCUACCAAGGCGACGAUCCAUAGCUGGUCUGAGAGGAUGAUCAGCCACACUGGGACUGAGACACGGCCCAGACUCCUACGGGAGGCAGCAGUGGGGAAUAUUGGACAAUGGGCGAAAGCCUGAUCCAGCAAUGCCGCGUGAGUGAUGAAGGCCUUAGGGUUGUAAAGCUUUUUUACCCGGGAUGAUAAUGACAGUACCGGGAGAAUAAGCGCCGGCUAACUCCGUG
rnacentral:rRNA from 1 species